AUGGCCACAUCAUAUUAAAACACCAGUUCCUUUAUGAUUUUCAUUAGUUAAGCAAUGUCGAGCCUGGCCAGUACCUAGAUGAGUGACUGCUUGGGAAUACCAGGUGCUGCAAGC